UAGCAACAUGCCAAAGACAACGACAGUCAAGGAUGGCAUCUUCUUCCAUACAGUGGUCCAUGCUCUCUGCAAUCCCGGAAGAAGAACAUACCUUAAAAGGCUGAAAUCAGGAGUAAAGAACAUAUCAAAAGGGUUCAGAAAUAGAAAGCAGAAAAUUCAAGAGUCGGUACAAAAACAAAAUAGGUCUUUGUAUCAUAAACUCUGUAUAUCCAAAUCGCUAAGAAGAUCCUCUGCUCUACUACUCCUUCAACUUCAAGGACGCCUCGCAUGCUGCGCCUCUUACUUCUAAUAAACACAUGAACGAAUCAGCAUUUAUGUGUUGAAUAAAAAAGAUCCCCACGAAACAUACCAAAGGGCGAUGUAGUGGGACUCAGAUCCUGCUGCCCCACAGUGUGGAAAAAGGAAGAAAGAAGUUUAUUCUAACACGAUUAUUGGCCCCAAUUUCCUCAACUUUGCGCACAAAUUGUUCGAAGGAGUAAUACGGGAUCAAGUAAGAGUGCCAGUUUAGCGUCAAGCUUGAUAAGAUUGCAAAGGUCCUCCACCUGGCAUCAAGACAAUAAUUCAAAUUUGGAAGGCCAUCAGAAAUCAGAAUAAGUAUAAGUGUGCAGUGAGCAACAUCGGGCUACAGUCUCUACUGUUUAUGAGACCCAAGUUUUAUGAGAAGAAGGCAAAUUAGAACUAUAACACCUGCUUAACAUCCUGAAUAUCAUGUUGCCAACUUGUGAAAUAAAGCUUUUGAACUAACAGUAGCUACGUAGGUACAUCUCCUGGAUGUUGUUGAGACUGAGAUAAUGAUGGUCAUAAAAAAGAGAAGUGAGAACAUUACUUCUUACUUUUUACUCAUAAAGUUUGCAAAGUUUUAAUGACGGGGAGGUACAAACAUAGAGAAGUUGUAUCAUCCAAGAAGGUGCAUGUACGUAAACUUUGCUCACAUGUUCCAAGCAGUAUUGAGUCACACAUCUGGUUCCAAUCCUUAGAACAAUUGGACUGCAAUGCCUGCGGAUUUUCACUUGAUGAGAUUCUGUUUUCUAAGAUUAAAUACAAAAAAUUAACAGACAUUCACCUCCAAUUAAAUCGAUCGGGAGUUGCCUUGGUCUUCAAAUUUAAAAUGUAAAACAUGAAUAUGUAUGUAUGCUGCUUAGACCAAUCUAGUUCAAGGGCUGUUGGUAUGGUUCUUCCUAUUAGGAAAAUUGAACAUAGAGGAGGAAUCUGCAGACUUUAUAUUUCAGCUUGCAUUCUCCUUUUACAUGAAGAUAAAAAAUGAAGUAAAUACUUUUAAGCGAUAAGUGUUACCUUGGAUUUCUACUCGUAAAUCUGGGCGUAUUUCAUGUAGCUAGCAUUUUGAAUGCGUGAGAUUAUAUGUGGCUGUGCCUGCGAGCCUGUCAGUCAGAAUUCAGAAGCCUGGGUCGUGAAAAUGCACUGUUGAUUGGUUGUGUACUAACUGCUGGAGCUAAAAUGGUCAUAGAUCUUCUUGUGCCUUAACUCAUCACAUGCAGUCCUC
rnacentral:lncRNA from 1 species